rnacentral:misc_RNA from 1 species
GUUUGAUUUUGCCAAAAAAAAAACCACCCAAGAGGAUUUUAAUCUUGUUUUUGUGAAAACAAUAAAUACUAUAAUCUCAAGGGACUAAACAAUUGAGUUCAGAAAAUUUUGGUUACUGACAUAACUAAAAUGGGGUAACCCUCCUGCAGUUUUUAAAUCAGUGACAAACAACGUCCUAGCAAAUUCAACCUCCCACAUUUAGAUACAAAACCGCUAGAAACCUUAUACACUAAAAAGAGAAUAAAAUUUGAUGUGGUUUUGGACCCCUUUCAAAUGAAACUAUCAAGGCUUCCAGUUAAACACUCACUUCUUCACCUCCUCAUACUCGGCCUCGGAAGCCUGUUCGCCACCCUGAGAACCCCCAGAUGCAGAAUCCCCACCACUGCCCUUGGACAUAUGCUCUCCAAUCUUUGACACGGCUUUGUUUGCAGAAUCAAGUUUGGAUUUGAUCUCUUCAAUAUUAUCUCCAGCCAUUGCCUUCCU